rnacentral:rRNA from 1 species
AUUGAACGCUGGCGGCAGGCCUAACACAUGCAAGUCGAGCGGAUGAAGGGAGCUUGCUCCUGGAUUCAGCGGCGGGCGGGUGAGUAAUGCCUAGGAAUCUGCCUGGUAGUGGGGGAUAACGUCCGGAAACGGGCGCUAAUACCGCAUACGUCCUGAGGGAGAAAGUGGGGGAUCUUCGGACCUCACGCUAUCAGAUGAGCCUAGGUCGGAUUAGCUAGUUGGUGGGGUAAAGGCCGACCAAGGCGACGAUCCGUAACUGGUCUGAGAGGAUGAUCAGUCACACUGGAACUGAAACCCGGUCCAGACUCCUACGGGAGGCAGCAGUGGGGAAUUUUGGACAAUGGGCGAAAGCCUGAUCCAGCCAGCCCGCGUGUGUGAAGAAGGUCUUCGGAUUGUAAAGCACUUUAAGUUGGGAGGAAGGGCAGUAAGUUAAUACCUUGCUGUUUUGACGGUACCAACAGAAUAAGCACCGGCUAACUUCGUG